GACGGCUGUAACUAUAACGGUCCUAAGGUAGCAAAUUUCCUUGUCGUCUUAAUAACGACCUGCAUGAAACAUAGAACGAUUUGAUAGCUGUCUUGCACACACAUCAUGGUAAAAUAUUCAUCAGUACAAAUAAUAUGCUGCUGACACUAAAGGACAAAAAGACCCUUUGAAGCUUUAUAGGGAUAAAACUCUGGUUAACGAAGUGUCCUCUGAUAGCGUGUUGUUAAAUCCAUCGAAGCGGUGUUCAUCUUGUUGCUUCUCCGCUUUUUUAAUUGCUAAAGCCUUACAAGAUUUACAACAUCAAGACCACUGUUUAAUUGGGGCGAUAACCUUAUCCACAGCCACCUAAGGUGAACAAAGCGAUACAAGGAUCCUUAAUUUGACCAACUAAUAAGUGCAAAGAUACAUGUUUUGCUUAAUGGCCCAACAAGUCCUUCCCAGUACUUAAAUGCUAUCUUAAUGAGCUUUAAAUUAAUUUACCAGAGUGAAGCUACUCUACGGAUAACAGGCUUAAUUUCCGCAAUAUCCAAGGUCACAUUAUCAAGAAUAAAGCACCUUGAUGUCGGCUUAUCUCAACCAAGGUAAGUAGCCCAAAUAUUGGUGGGAGUGCUCAUCCCGUAAAAAGGUACGUGAGCUGGGUUCAAUACG
rnacentral:rRNA from 1 species